UACGAAGGGGGCUAGCGUUGUUCGGAAUCACUGGGCGUAAAGCGCACGUAGGCGGAUCUUUAAGUCAGGGGUGAAAUCCCGAGGCUCAACCUCGGAACUGCCUUUGAUACUGGAGGUCUCGAGUCCGGGAGAGGUGAGUGGAACUGCGAGUGUAGAGGUGAAAUUCGUAGAUAUUCGCAAGAACACCAGUGGCGAAGGCGGCUCACUGGCCCGGUACUGACGCUGAGGUGCGAAAGCGUGGGGAGCAAACAGGG
rnacentral:rRNA from 1 species